GUCUCUCUUAACGUCAACGUGCGUUCUCUAUCUUUGUGACGUAUAAUAUUCAGGACAUGGAUCCGGACGAAUUAAAUCGCGGAGUUUGUAGAAUUGCGAGAUUCGAUGGUCUUCGUGCACGAGUACCUGCGCGAUAAAGCCACGAAUCGAGGACUCUCACGUCGGCCAAGAAAAGAAGGCGAGUUUGAGCCAUGGGAUUGCUUCUAGGCGGAAGCGAGGAGAAUCCAGUGGUGCACUUUCCCAUUAGUCGGUUUGAUGAGAAAUCAGCCGAAGGAAAUCAAAAUCGGACCAAGAAGACGCUGCAGCCCGGCGCAUCGAACCGAUUUGCGAGCGCUGUGCCCCCACCUUUUCGUUUCCGUCGCGAUGAGCCACGGAUUUGAACGUUUCCUGAUUAUUCGAUUGCAGGAGGGUUCCAGUUUUCGGUGUUAUUAUGUUAUUGGAAUUGAACAGUUUCGUACACCCCAGUCGGAUUAGUUUGGGUGGUCGACAGCGAUUGUAUCAAAAUUUAUUCUAAGGAAUAUUUUCUGUCUUCCUUUCAUUAAAAUCAUUUUUUAUUAGA